AGUGAACGCUGGCGGUAGGCCUAACACAUGCAAGUCGAACGGCAGCACAGUAAGAGCUUGCUCUUACGGGUGGCGAGUGGCGGACGGGUGAGGAAUACAUCGGAAUCUACUUUUUCGUGGGGGAUAACGUAGGGAAACUUACGCUAAUACCGCAUACGACCUACGGGUGAAAGCAGGGGAUCUUCGGACCUUGCGCGAGUGAAUGAGCCGAUGUCGGAUUAGCUAGUUGGCGGGGUAAAGGCCCACCAAGGCGACGAUCCGUAGCUGGUCUGAGAGGAUGAUCAGCCACACUGGAACUGAGACACGGUCCAGACGCCUACGGGAGGCAGCAGUGGGGAAUAUUGGACAAUGGGCGCAAGCCUGAUCCAGCCAUACCGCGUGGGUGAAGAAGGCCUUCGGGUUGUAAAGCCCUUUUGUUGGGAAAGAAAAGCAGCAGGUUAAUACCCCGCUGUUCUGACGGUACCCAAAGAAUAAGCACCGGCUAACUUCGUG
rnacentral:rRNA from 1 species